rnacentral:rRNA from 1 species
GGACCUACGGGAGGCAGCAGUAGGGAAUCUUCCACAAUGGGCGAAAGCCUGAAGCAGCAACGCCGCGUGGAGGAUGAAGGUUUUAGGAUUGUAAACUCCUUUUGUGAGAGAAGAUUAUGACGGUAUCUCACGAAUAAGCACCGGCUAACUCCGUGCCAGCAGCCGCGGUAAUACGGAGGGUGCAAGCGUUACUCGGAAUCACUGGGCGUAAAGAGUGCGCAGGCGGGUAGUCAAGUCAGAUGUGAAAUCCUAUAGCUUAACUAUAGAACUGCAUUUGAAACUGAUUAUCUAGAGUGUGGGAGAGG